ensembl:lncRNA
CUGCGAUUGGAAGGUAACGUGUGUGUGUGUGUGUGUGUGUGUGUGUGUGUGUGUGUGUGAGAUAGAGAGGCCACAGCACUAAUCCACCCGGAGAGCAACUGAACAACAACAGAUCGAUCAACAUGCUAAAUGGUGUUUUUUCCAGUGUGCAUGUGUGUAUUUUGCGUGUGUGUGUGCGUUAGUGCGUGUGGUCAGUGUGUGUCUGUGUCGGCGGCCUAAUGGAGGAUCUGGAUGCAUUCAGUCAUGUUUGCCAACAGGAACAGAGAUCCAACCUGCUCAUUACCGACGUCAAAGCGUCACUUUGAUUCUGACGGCGAGUCGGAGACGUUUGACGCACACACACACACACACACACACACACACAGCGGCCUCCUCCCCAAAGCCGCCACACGGAGACCGCGUCUGUAUUAGAGGCCGAUGUGUGCAGCAAAUUAUUUCUGGAUCAUUUAUCAUCUCAUUAUUAUAAGUUUUAGAGACGGCCGCUCAGGCAACAUGUGAGUGAGGAGCAGAGACGAAGCGUAAAGACGGCAAACAGAUGUGCCGGAAUGUGCCGGAUAACCGCGGUGAUCUAAUGUGUGACACUGCCAGCGAAUGAGUCAUAAACCCCCCACACACCCCCCAAAAAGAAGCUUCUAACGGCUGUGAAAGAUGAUCUCAUUACGAGUAGUUUUAUUUUGAAAACUAAGUUCACAUUUAACUGACUUUAACCAUUUUAUUUUUAUUAUUAUUAUUACAUUUACUUUCUCUCGUGAGGGCGGAUCGUAGUUCGUACCCGGAGCAGCAUGUUGUGUAACUUCAACACACCACGCACCAACAAACACACAAACAACAAACGCACACAUUCGCAGUGAGUUAAAACACACACACACACGCUGGCGAUAUCAGUCGGCGGGGACGCUGACUCGGCUACUUCUACGAGAGGUCAGGGAGUUUGUGUGUGUGUGUGUGUGUGUGUGUGUGUGUGUUCAUGAGGAGGGUUUGUAUAUACGCGUCCCCCCCUGAGGGAAAAGACUGCGGCAAACAGACAGGAAGUGAUGUCACAAGUCGACCAAGG